rnacentral:lncRNA from 1 species
AUUUCAGGCUCUGCUGUGUCAAGUCGGGGAGCGGCUCUUUGCUCAGCUUAGAGAACUGGAAGAGGCCGCAACCUUCUGCCUGCUGGAGGCUGGAGGAUGGAUGGAGCCUGGAGCCUGGGACACUACCUUGCUGUGGUUGGUGGUGGCGACAGAGCAGUAAGAGGGUGGCCGGCAGCAGGAGCUUGUCCUGCUGGGCUGGAGGACUAGGAGAAGGAAGAGGCACCACCACAUGCUGGAGGCUGAAGCCUGGAGUCUGUGCCACCAUGGCUCGCCUCGCUGUGGUUGGUGGUGACGCUGGAGACUGCAGCUGGGCCACAGUGGUAGAAAUGUGAUGGGGUAGGUGAGUUUUCUGGGCUGCCCUGUACGCUUCUGGGGGCAAGGGUUGGGUGUCCUUUUGGUGAUCACUGCUAGAGGCCACCCUGCCUGUGUCAGUGGUCUGGUUGGGGGCACUCUCCAGGGUUGCAUUGCUGGUAGUGGGGCAGGUUGGCUGGCUAUCUGGGGCUAUACUGCCUGCGGUGGCAGGGGUGGUGGGGGGAGGCAGAUUGUGUACAGUAAUGUGUGCUGCUGGUGGCUGGUGAAGGAUUAGGGGCACUAUCUUCUGCUGCACUGCCC